rnacentral:rRNA from 1 species
AACGAACGCUGGCGGCAGGCUUAACACAUGCAAGUCGAAGGAGAAGCAGGGCUUCGGCCCUGUGGACACUGGCGGACGGGUGAGUAACGCGUGGGAACCUGCCCUGGGGUGGGGGACAACCGCUGGAAACGGCGGCUAAUACCGCAUACGCCCUUCGGGGGAAAGCUUUAUGUGCCCUGGGAUGGUCCCGCGUCGGAUUAGCUUGUUGGUAGGGUAACGGCCUACCAAGGCGACGAUCCGUAGCUGGUCUGAGAGGAUGAUCAGCCACACUGGAACUGAGACACGGUCCAGACUCCUACGGGAGGCAGCAGUGGGGAAUAUUGGACAAUGGGGGCAACCCUGAUCCAGCCAUGCCGCGUGCGUGAAGAAGGCCUUAGGGUUGUAAAGCGCUUUCACCGGUGACGAUGAUGACGGUAGCCGGAGAAGAAGCCCCGGCUAACUCCGUG